ACGCUGGGCAAGGAGAAGGCUGGCGGUCAGAGGUGACGAAGACGAGCCAGGCUCGGCCCGAGGAACUGGAGUUGGGUUAGGUGAGACACUCAGCAUGGGCAGGCCGGCUGAGGCAGGGGGGCGAGGACCACCAGAGCCGAGCCUCCCCGCAGGGGCAUGUGGAAGGGAGUCAGCCAUUGCUCAUUAAUGGAAAAGGCAACGUACACUGUUUGUCUGGGGCUGACUGUCCUGAGAGUAGGUGGUGCCGAAGCUCAGAGGAGACAGAGAAGGCACCCGGCUGCGGGUCAGAGAAAGCCUCACAGAGCAGCUGAGGUCUGACCUUGGUCUGAAAGGGUGACUGAGCAGAGCGGAGGGCACAGGCACUUGAACAGAGUCAGGAGUCGAUCCACCUGGCAGGGACAUUUUGAUUAGAGGGCGUUUACGUGGGGAAGGCAGAGCCCAAAGCACAGAAGCCAUCUGGGAGGAGGUGGCCAUUCCUGAAGAGCUGAGAGGAGCCAACGAGAGGACGUACACAGCGUGCUCCCUGCAGUGGUGCCGCGGCCAGGACACAACAGGGAAGCUCCACACCAGCAGGUGCCAGUCAUGACCGAGGCAGGCUAGAAGUGAGAGGCCACCGUUACCUGUUCCGGAUCCCACCACAUC